CCCACCCGCGGGCCGGGCGGACGAUGGCCGCCUGCCAGGCCGACACCAUGCGGCCCUCGAGCGAGCCGGCGCGGCGCAGCGUGCUCAGCAGAGAGGGGGAGAGGUGCCACAGCGCCGACAGGGACAGCUCGGGGCCCAGCAGGCACAGGACAGGUGGAGUUUCCACAUCAACAGAAUCGAAGCUGCUCAUGAGGAACCAUGCUAUUUGCUCUCCAUAAACUGCUGGUGUUCAGUCUGCGUGCACAAUUCUGUCAGAGGACUUGAAUGGGACUGCAAGGUGGGAGAAAGCAGCAGAGCUGGGAACAGCACGUGGAUGUCCUGAGUCAACCCAAGGAAAUCCAGACAGACACAGCCAUACAACCAUCAGCACAGUGACACAGGCAUAUGUGAAGUUGAAAUUCACGCUGCAGCAUCCAGACGGUGCCUCAAGCUGGCUGCACAUUCCCAGAAAGGAAGAACCCCCCCUCCAGCCUACCUGCAGAAUGACCUUUCUCCUGACGCCGACUUGCAGCUCAGGAGCUUUUGUGCUGUGAGAGGCAGGGAGAUGAAAUGUUUUCCUCUUCAGUAUAUACAGAAGAGUCUGGAGCUGAGCUGCUAUCUCCCCAACUGUAAAAGUACAGUGUUUGUUUGUGUUCCAUUGCCUGCUUUGAGGAAAACAGUGGUCAUGAGAUCAGACAUCAGCCUCGGGGUGAGUGUAGAUACCACCCACACCAGCUCUUCCAACACGCUGCAACCUACGUCUGGUUCUCUCUGUGCUUGUCUGUCCCUCGCAGCCCUGCUGCAGGCUCUGGUAGGUGUACAAGGCAUAAACCUGAGUUCUACAGGACUCGGGUAUUUCACCCCUCAA